AUUGAACGCUGGCGGCAUGCCUUACACAUGCAAGUCGAACGGCAGCGCGGGAGCAAUCCUGGCGGCGAGUGGCGAACGGGUGAGUAAUAUAUCGGAACGUGCCCAGUAGUGGGGGAUAGCCCGGCGAAAGCCGGAUUAAUACCGCAUACGACCUGAGGGUGAAAGCGGGGGAUCGCAAGACCUCGCGCUACUGGAGCGGCCGAUAUCAGAUUAGCUAGUUGGUGGGGUAAAGGCCUACCAAGGCAACGAUCUGUAGUCGGUCUGAGAGGACGACCAGCCACACUGGGACUGAGACACGGCCCAGACUCCUACGGGAGGCAGCAGUGGGGAAUUUUGGACAAUGGGCGCAAGCCUGAUCCAGCAAUGCCGCGUGCAGGAAGAAGGCCUUCGGGUUGUAAACUGCUUUUGUCAGGGAAGAAAUCUUCUGGGCUAAUAUCCCGGGAGGAUGACGUACCUGAAGAAUAAGCACCGCA
rnacentral:rRNA from 1 species